GUGCUCGCUUCAGCAGCACAUAUACUAAAAUUAGAACAACAUCAAGAAGAUUAGCCGUGACCCCUGUUCAAGGAUGGCAUGCAAAUCGUGAAGUGUUCUAUAUUUUU
rnacentral:snRNA from 1 species